AGGAGGGGGAAAUGUCAAUGUUCAGGAUAAUGUUUCUACAGUAUAUUUUCAAAGAUUCCCAUCUGUAUGUGGUCAGUUGUAGUACUACUGUAGUACUACAACCAUCAGAGUUGCAGCUUAAAAACUGAACUAAAAUCUCAACUUUGACACUCGGUGGUCUUAGCGCCUGUUGUCAUUUAUCUUCUACCUACAGUGCGUUCUCUGAAUCUAGGCUAUAGAUUCAAUGAGUCCAUAAUUAGACGUAGUGUCACCAUAAUUAAUUUUGUAAUUAGGGGUUUUCAACAGUGAUUUAUGCUGUUUAAAGCACAAAUUCCUAUAGCAGUAAAUCAGCAGUCUCAAACCCCCGUCCUGAGGGCCACUUCAGGCCUGGAAAACCCCAACAUCAGUCCAGCACCUCAGUGUAAAAAAUAAUUAACUUUUCCUUGAGAUUUAUUUUAAAAAAUACUGUUUUAAAAUAUUAUAUUUGUUCACUAAAAUGCUUUAGUUGGUCAUUUAAUUUCACUGUAAUGUGGCCCCUCAGAUUUAUUGACAACAGCAGCCGUGGCCCUCGACUCAUUCCAGCUAGAGCCCUGCUGUAAUCGUUCACCAUCACAAAAGUUCAUUUUUUCGCCUGGCUGACGAGAUGAGAUUCCGAGGUGGAAUGCUGUAAUUCUUUAAUCAGAUUAAUAUGCGUUGCACUCGCUCGUACACACGGGGAUUUUUCCCGUCCUUCUCAAGCCUGUGAGCUUUUUGGACUCAUUUAUGUUUCACAGGCAGGUGGUCUAAUAAAGCUGAAAGCCCCCCUGCUUUACAGAACACACAUUAAUAUGAGUGAAGUAACCUCAGAUAGAGAACAAAAACAUUCACAAGGCUUUUAAUCACAUCCUUCCAUGUGUCUGUAUUGUUCCUUGUGUUUGCAAACAAAAACAUUGUUAGCUACAGUAAAUAGCUAACAAUAAGUGAGUGGGCUAAAAGUCUGAAAACUGAAAAAUAUAAAUGUGUUUAGCUACAAAUGAUCAAAAUGUUACCUUGUAACUAAAGGUACAUGUAACAUCAAAAUACAUCAAAACUAUUAGAGUUAGCACAGUAGAUGCUAAAAGUGAGCAGAGUAACAGCUAAAUAAUAAAAAGGGCAAAGACCACUAAAAGUUAAACCGUAAAAAGCUAAAUGUUAGCCAAGAGCUAUUUGUACAACAGCUAUAAGUCAGUAACUAACAGUAGGUGAAGGUUAGCUAAAGAGUGGGUUUUUUAUAUAAAUUCAAAAUUGUUCUUUAAAUAUAUUAUACAACUACUAAUCUAGUAGUCCUGCAAAUACAGUUCUUUCCCCAGUAAUUACUGAACACAAACACGACAUGACAACAGCGUGAAAAAUGGUCAGAAAAACAAGAUUAAAAUGAAGAGUGCGUUUUGAAUGGUGUGUGAAGCCUGGUGUUUACAGGUAAUCAAUACAACUUUAUUUAUGACUGUGGGAAGAACUCAGUGCAGUUCAGUGGAGAGAAGAAGACGGAUUAUAUUCAUGGAGUUUUAUAUAAUGACUAUUGUACGACUGAAACUGCACAAGUAAAAAUACUAAUAAUGAGAGAUAACAGAAAAUAUUGUUUUUAUAAUCUUCAUGCUAACAGGAUUCUUGAUUCUUUUAAGGUGCAGUAAAUAUGAUUAAUCCCUUUCUAAGGUCUUUCAAGGUCGACAUUUUUUAAAGCUUUGUUUUGAUGUUUGACUUGUUUUUUUUUCUUUCCUUCUUUUAGUCUUUCCAGAUUGUUUCCUUCUCCAGAUUCUCUCAUGGGACAACACAUUUCCUAAGUGCAACAUAAAUCCAGGUUUUCCUCCAGACACCGGAGCGCGGAGACGGCACCGACAUCUCCAGACCUGGGGCGACGUGAACGCGCAUCGAAGCUCCCCACUAC